rnacentral:rRNA from 1 species
GACGAACGCUGGCGGCGUGCUUAACACAUGCAAGUCGAACGGAAAGGCCCUGCUUUUGUGGGUGCUCGAGUGGCGAACGGGUGAGUAGCACGUGAGUAACCUGCCCUUGACUUUGGGAUAACUUCAGGAAACUGGGGCUAAUACCGGAUAGGAGCUCCUGCUGCAUGGUGGGGGUUGGAAAGUUUCGGCGGUUGGGGAUGGACUCGCGGCUUAUCAGCUUGUUGGUGGGGUAGUGGCUUACCAAGGCUUUGACGGGUAGCCGGCCUGAGAGGGUGACCGGCCACAUUGGGACUGAGAUACGGCCCAGACUCCUACGGGAGGCAGCAGUGGGGAAUAUUGCACAAUGGGCGGAAGCCUGAUGCAGCAACGCCGCGUGCGGGAUGACGGCCUUCGGGUUGUAAACCGCUUUCGCCUGUGACGAAGCGUGAGAGACGGUAAUGGGUAAAGAAGCACCGGCUAACUACGUG